UCCACCCAACGGGGGUAAGAAAUGGGUCCUA
rnacentral:sRNA from 1 species